UGGGGAAUUUUGGACAAUGGGGGAAACCCUGAUCCAGCCAUCCCGCGUGUGCGAUGAAGGCCUUCGGGUUGUAAAGCACUUUUGGCAGGAAAGAAACGUCAUGGGUUAAUACCCCGUGAAACUGACGGUACCUGCAGAAUAAGCACCGGCUAACUACGUGCCAGCAGCCGCGGUAAUACGUAGGGUGCAAGCGUUAAUCGGAAUUACUGGGCGUAAAGCGUGCGCAGGCGGUUCGGAAAGAAAGAUGUGAAAUCCCAGAGCUCAACUUUGGAACUGCAUUUUUAACUGCCGGGCUAGAGUGUGUCAGAGGGAGGUGGAAUUCCACGUGUAGCAGUGAAAUGCGUAGAUAUGCGGAGGAACACCGAUGGCGAAGGCAGCCACCUGGGAUAACACUGACGCUCAUGAACGAAAGCGUGGGGAGCAAACAGG
rnacentral:rRNA from 1 species